CAAGAAAAGCUUCUAGCGAGGUAAAAGGUGCCCGUACCGCAAACCGACACAGGUAGGUGGGGUGAGAAUCCUAAGGCGCGCGAGAGAACCCUCGUUAAGGAACUCGGCAAAAUGACCCCGUAACUUAGGGAGAAGGGGUGCCUCAAUAUCGUGACACAUUAACUUGUAGAGCGAGAAGAGGCCGCAGAGAAAAGGCCCAAGCGACUGUUUACCAAAAACACAGGUCCCUGCUAAAGCGAAAGCUGACGUAUAGGGGCUGACGCCUGCCCGGUGCUGGAAGGUUAAGGGGAAGUGUUAGACGCAAGUCGAAGCAGAGAACCGAAGCCCCAGUAAACGGCGGCCGUAACUAUAACGGUCCUAAGGUAGCGAAAUUCCUUGUCAGGUAAGUUCUGACCCGCACGAAAGGCGUAACGAUUUGGGCACUGUCUCAACGAGGGGCUCGGUGAAAUUG
rnacentral:rRNA from 1 species